rnacentral:rRNA from 1 species
GACGAACGCUGGCGGCACGCUUAACACAUGCAAGUCGAACGAAGCCUUCGGGCUUAGUGGCGCACGGGUGAGUAACGCGUGGGAACCUACCUUUUGGUACGGGACAACAGUUGGAAACGACUGCUAAUACCGUAUGUGCCCUUUGGGGGAAAGAUUUAUCGCCAAAGGAUGGGCCCGCGUUGGAUUAGCUAGUUGGUGAGGUAAAGGCUUACCAAGGCUACGAUCUAUAGCUGGUCUGAGAGGAUGAUCAGCCACACUGGGACUGAGACACGGCCCAGACUCCUACGGGAGGCAGCAGUGGGGAAUCUUGGACAAUGGGGGCAACCCUGAUCCAGCGAUGCCGCGUGGGUGAUGAAGGCCUUCGGGUUGUAAACCCCUUUUAUCUGUGAAGAUGAUGACGGUAACAGAUGAAUAAGCACCGGCUAACUCCG